CAACUCGACUGCACGAAGCUGGAAUCGCUAGUAAUCGCGGAUCAACACGCCGCGGUGAAUACGUUCCCGGGCCUUGUACACACCGCCCGUCACACCAUGGAAGUCUGCAAUGCCCGAAGCCGGUGGCCUAACCACUUAUGUGGAAGGAGCCGUCUAAGGCAGGGCAGAUGACUGGGGUGAAGUCGUAACAAGGUAAC
rnacentral:rRNA from 1 species